rnacentral:rRNA from 1 species
AAAUUGAAGAGUUUGAUCAUGGCUCAGAUUGAACGCUGGCGGCAGGCCUAACACAUGCAAGUCGAACGGUAACAGGAAACAGCUUGCUGUUUCGCUGACGAGUGGCGGACGGGUGAGUAAUGUCUGGGAAACUGCCUGAUGGAGGGGGAUAACUACUGGAAACGGUAGCUAAUACCGCAUAACGUCGCAAGACCAAAGAGGGGGACCUUCGGGCCUCUUGCCAUCGGAUGUGCCCAGAUGGGAUUAGCUAGUAGGUGGGGUAACGGCUCACCUAGGCGACGAUCCCUAGCUGGUCUGAGAGGAUGACCAGCCACACUGGAACUGAGACACGGUCCAGACUCCUACGGGAGGCAGCAGUGGGGAAUAUUGCACAAUGGGCGCAAGCCUGAUGCAGCCAUGCCGCGUGUAUGAAGAAGGCCUUCGGGUUGUAAAGUACUUUCAGCGGGGAGGAAGGGAGUAAAGUUAAUACCUUUACUCAUUGACGUUACCCGCAGAAGAAGCACCGGCUAACUCCGUGCCAGCAGCCGCGGUAAUACGGAGGGUGCAAGCGUUAAUCGGAAUUACUGGGCGUAAAGCGCACGCAGGCGGUUUGUUAAGUCAGAUGUGAAAUCCCCGGGCUCAACCUGGGAACUGCAUCUGAUACUGGCAAGCUUGAGUCUCGUAGAGGGGGGUAGAAUUCCAGGUGUAGCGGUGAAAUGCGUAGAGAUCUGGAGGAAUACCGGUGGCGAAGGCGGCCCCCUGGACGAAGACUGACGCUCAGGUGCGAAAGCGUGGGGAGCAAACAGGAUUAGAUACCCUGGUAGUCCACGCCGUAAACGAUGUCGACUUGGAGGUUGUGCCCUUGAGGCGUGGCUUCCGGAGCUAACGCGUUAAGUCGACCGCCUGGGGAGUACGGCCGCAAGGUUAAAACUCAAAUGAAUUGACGGGGGCCCGCACAAGCGGUGGAGCAUGUGGUUUAAUUCGAUGCAACGCGAAGAACCUUACCUGGUCUUGACAUCCACAGAACUUUCCAGAGAUGGAUUGGUGCCUUCGGGAACUGUGAGACAGGUGCUGCAUGGCUGUCGUCAGCUCGUGUUGUGAAAUGUUGGGUUAAGUCCCGCAACGAGCGCAACCCUUAUCCUUUGUUGCCAGCGGUCCGGCCGGGAACUCAAAGGAGACUGCCAGUGAUAAACUGGAGGAAGGUGGGGAUGACG